GUAUUCUCUACACACAGAGCUUGGGUCUCUACUACUCUUAAGAAAGGCAGCAGAGAGCAUCUUCCUUCUAGGCUUCUCACUACCCUUCUGCGCCACAAAACCCCAGAGUACAUCAGUUUGAGAACCGAAAGGCAGACGAGAGAUGGAAUUUUAUGUCUGGACGCUUCCAAGAAAU